rnacentral:rRNA from 1 species
UACGUAGGGUGCAAGCGUUGUCCGGAAUUAUUGAGCGUAAAGAGCUCGUAGGCGGUCUGUCGCGUCUGCUGUGAAAACUCGGGGCUUAACCCCGGGCCUGCAGUGGGUACGGGCAGACUAGAGUGCGGUAGGGGAGACUGGAAUUCCUGGUGUAGCGGUGAAAUGCGCAGAUAUCAGGAGGAACACCGGUGGCGAAGGCGGGUCUCUGGGCCGUAACUGACGCUGAGGAGCGAAAGCGUGGGGAGCGAACAGG